rnacentral:rRNA from 1 species
UACGUAGGGUGCGAGCGUUGUCCGGAAUUAUUGGGCGUAAAGGGCUCGUAGGCGGUCCAUCGCGUCGGGAGUGAAAAGCUGGGGCUUAACCCCAGUCCUGCUUUCGAUACGGGUGGACUAGAGUGAUGUAGGGGAGACUGGAAUUCCUGGUGUAGCGGUGAAAUGCGCAGAUAUCAGGAGGAACACCGAUGGCGAAGGCAGGUCUCUGGGCAUUAACUGACGCUGAGGAGCGAAAGCAUGGGGAGCGAACAGG